CCCGGGAGGGGAAAUGCAGCCAGCAGAGGUGGGAUCUGGACCCGAGUCAGGGCUCCCUUGCAGUCAGCAGCCUCUGUA